rnacentral:rRNA from 1 species
CCUACGGGGGGCAGCAGUGGGGAAUAUUGCACAAUGGGGGGAACCCUGAUGCAGCGACGCCGCGUGAGUGAAGAAGUAUUUCGGUAUGUAAAGCUCUGUCAGCAGGGAAGAAGAAAGACGGUACCUGACCAAGAAGCCCCGGCUAACUACGUGCCAGCAGCCGCGGUAAUACGUAGGGGGCAAGCGUUAUCCGGAUUUGCUGGGUGUAAAGGGAGCGUAGACGGCAGGGCAAGUCUGGAGUGAAAGGCAGGGGCCCAACCCCUGGACUGCUGUGGAAACUGGCCGGCUGGAGUGCAGGAGAGGUAAGUGGAAUGCCGAGUGUAGCGGUGAAAUGCUUAGAUAUUACGAGGAACCCCAGUGGCGAAGGCGGCUUACCGGACUGAAACUGACGUUGAGGCUCGAAAGCGUGGGUAGCAAACAGGAUUAGAUACCCCAGUAGUC